UUUAAAAAGUUUAAAACUGUUUACAUUUUUUUUAAAAACGAGGUUUCAAACAUUUGAUAAAAUUAAGGAGAUUAACAAAGGAAUAUGAAUCAGAUGCCAUCAGUGAAUUUCAACUAUAUCAUCAAUUUUAAAAUAUAUGAUAAUUACUUGCAAGUAAUUAAUAGAUAUAUACAAAUAUGAAUAAGCACAUAUGACUUACAUUACCAAAGGUGUAUAUGGACAUAUGAACUAGCUUACCAGCAGUGAUCUUAAUCACCAUGCUGGAUCUUAAAAUGAUCUGUAUUAAAUCCAGUAUAUCUUUUCCAGGUUGAUAAAAUUAACAAGAAGAUUAACAAAGGAAUAGAUGAAUCAGAAGCCAUCAAUGAAUUUCAAAUAUAUCAUCAAUUUUAAAAUAUUGCAAAUUCAAAAUAUUGUGAAAGAAUAAAAGAUUUCAUUU